GAACUAUGACGCGCAGGUGGGUGAAGCGAUGGCGAUGGUCAAAGCGCUGAACCGGAUGACGUUGUUGGCAAUGCCGACCAGCGUCAGGCUCGUAUAACGAGUGCUCCGGUGGGAGUCCUGUAUCCUUAUCGUUGGCCGAUUCUGAAUUAUUCAACAAAGCCUCAUGUUGUCAUAACCUACCAGAUGCAGAUAAAGCAGCAUAAAGCGUUUUAAACGACAGCAACAAGGAAAGGGGUUGAUCGUUUAAUGGUACUGCGCCAAAUCCUUUGUACCAGUCGCGGACCUGUUUAUUUUUGGCAUCAAUAAGCAGGGCUACGCCACCGACCUGCAAAGCCGCCUGUAUGCAACGCUUUCCGGCAGAUAACAAAAGUUGUGCUCCCAGCCCUUGCCCCUGCAUAGAUUUGUCUACGGCUAAACGACCCAGACGAAAC
rnacentral:misc_RNA from 1 species